UACGUAGGUGGCGAGCGUUGUCCGGAUUUACUGGGUGUAAAGGGCGCGUAGGCGGGGCAGCAAGUCAGAUGUGAAAUGCCAGGGCUUAACCCUGGAGCUGCAUUUGAAACUGUUGCUCUUGAGUAUCGGAGAGGCAGGCGGAAUUCCUAGUGUAGCGGUGAAAUGCGUAGAUAUUAGGAGGAACACCAGUGGCGAAGGCGGCCUGCUGGACGACAACUGACGCUGAGGCGCGAAAGCGUGGGGAGCAAAC
rnacentral:rRNA from 1 species